UCGAGAGGCACACCAACACCAGCAGAUGAGCCUCCGUUUAAUACUUGGGAUAUUAUAACAGUAAGUUAUAGCUCCAGAAGUCAGUCACCAGCAGCAGAUGUCACACAGUUAUAAAAUGGGAAACUUGUAGAAUAAGCUCCAGAAGUCAGCAGCAGCAGACGUCACACAGCCAUAAUGUGAGAAGCUUGAAGAAUAAUGUGUUAUGGCUCCGAUAGUCUUCCAGCAGCAGCAAAUGUUACACAGUCCUAUAGCGGCAAACUUGAAGUAUAAGGUAAUAGUGUUUUGCAUACAAUGGCAAACUUGACCUUUCGCUUAAAAUGGAGGUACAUUUGCACUGAGUUUAAUUUUAUGACACGUGAAUGGAUUACCAGUGAUGUAUAUGUAAAUACUGGAAUUUGUAACU